rnacentral:rRNA from 1 species
UACCCUUGACAUACCGAUCGCGGUUUCCAGAGAUGGAUUCCUUCAGUUAGGCUGGAUCGGAUACAGGUGCUGCAUGGCUGUCGUCAGCUCGUGUCGUGAGAUGUUGGGUUAAGUCCCGCAACGAGCGCAACCCUCAUCCUUAGUUGCCAUCACGUUUGGGUGGGCACUCUAAGGAAACUGCCGGUGGUAAGCCGGAGGAAGGUGGGGAUGACGUCAAGUCCUCAUGGCCCUUACGGGUAGGGCUACACACGUGCUACAAUGGCAGUGACAAUGGGUUAAUCCCCAAAAACUGUCUCAGUUCGGAUUGUCGUCUGCAACUCGACGGCAUGAAGGUGGAAUCGCUAGUAAUCGUGGAUCAGCAUGCCACGGUGAAUACGUUCCCGGGCCU